rnacentral:rRNA from 1 species
GAUGAACGCUGGCGGCGUGCCUAAUACAUGCAAGUCGAGCGAACGGACGAGAAGCUUGCUUCUCUGAUGUUAGCGGCGGACGGGUGAGUAACACGUGGAUAACCUACCUAUAAGACUGGGAUAACUUCGGGAAACCGGAGCUAAUACCGGAUAAUAUUUUGAACCGCAUGGUUCAAAAGUAAAAGACGGUCUUGCUGUCACUUAUAGAUGGAUCCGCGCUGCAUUAGCUAGUUGGUAAGGUAACGGCUUACCAAGGCAACGAUGCAUAGCCGACCUGAGAGGGUGAUCGGCCACACUGGAACUGAGACACGGUCCAGACUCCUACGGGAGGCAGCAGUAGGGAAUCUUCCACAAGGGGCGAAAGCCUGACGGAGCAACGCCGCGUGAGUGAUGAAGGUCUUCGGAUCGUAAAACUCUGUUAUUAGGGAAGAACAUAUGUGUAAGUAGCUGUGCACAUCUUGACGGUACCUAAUCAGAAAGCCACGGCUAACUACGUG